rnacentral:lncRNA from 1 species
UCUUUUGAUUCAUAAGCAUGUAUAUCUCUCCAUUUACUUAGAUCUUUAAUAUUUUUUCAGCCAUGUUUUGUAGUUUCUACUGUACAUGUCCUGCAUAUCUUUGGUCAGUUUAUCCCUAAAUAUUUCAUAAUUUUUGAUGCUAUUGUAAAUGGUAUUGUUUUGUAAUUUAAAGUUCCGUUUGUUUCUUGCUAUGAUGUAGAAAUACAAUUUUUAAAUAUAUUGAUCUCAUAUCUUGCAUCAUUGCUAAACACUUCGAUUAGUUCCAGUAACUUUUAAAUUUGGUUAUAUGGAUUUUUGUUUUGACAUAGAUGAUUAUGUCACUGGUGAUUAAAGGUAGCUUUACUUCAAUCUAGAUGUGUUUAUUUUUCUUGCCUUAUUUCACUGGCUAGAACUCCACGACAAUGUUGAAUAAAAUGGUGAGAGUGAACGUUCUUGCUUAUUUCUGAACUUAGGGGUAAAAUAUUUAGUCUUUCACCAUUAACAAUUAUCUUAGCUAUAUUAUUUUUGUAGAUGUCCUGUAACUGGCUGAAGAGUUCUAUUCUUAGUUUUGCUGGGAGGUUUUUAAUUUUUUUAUUUUUAAUCAGAAAUGAAUGCUGGAUUUUGUUGAAUGCAUUUUCUGCAUCAAUUGAAAUCAUUAUAUGGUUUUUUCUUUAAAAUAUUUUAAUCAUCAUGAAUUACUUUGACUGAUUUUCUAAUGUUAAGCCAAACUUCCAUUCCUGGAAUAAUUCUCACUUGAUCAUGUUAUACUAUCCUUUUUAAACAUUGUUGCAUUCAAUAUGCUCACAUUUUGUUAAGAUUUUUUUCAUCUAUAUUCAUGAGAGACAUUGGCCUAUAUUUCUUUUUUGGUAGCAUCUCUCCUUCUCUUUUUUAACCAGACUAAUGGGCAUCAUAAAAUGAGUUGAGAAAUAUUCCCUUCUCUUCAAUUUUCUGGAAGAGUUUGUGUAGAAUUGGUAUUAUUAUUCCCUUAAAUAUUUGGUAAGGGUUCCCUGUGAAGCAACCUGGAAACUUGAGUUUUCUUUGUGGAUAUUAUUGACAGUAAAUUUCUUUAUUUUGUACAGUACUAUUCAGGUAAUCUAGCUCUUCUUGAGUAAACUUAGAAAGUUUCUGUUUUUAAAGUCAUUUGUCUAUCUCACACAAGUCAUCAAAUUUAUUGGCAUAAACUAUUCACAGUAUUCCCUUAUUAUUGUUUGACUAUACAUAGAAUUCUUAGUUAUGUCACCCAUCUUAUUCUUAAUAUUGGGAAUUUGUGUCUUCUCUUUUUUUUUCCUGAUUAGCGGCUAGAGGUUUUCACUGUUGUGCUUCUCAGGGAACCAAGUUUUGGUAUUAUUGUUAUUUUAAUGUUAUUUUCUGUUUUCUAAUUGACUUCCAUGCUGAUGUUUAUUUGCUUUCUUUUGCUUACUUUGAGUUUUAUUUGCUCUUCUUUUUCUAGUUUCUUAUGGUGGAAGUUGAGGUCAUUGAUUUGAGACCUUUCUGUUUUUCUAAUAUAAGCAUUUUUAGUGCUAUAAAUUUCCCCAUAAGUACUGCUUUAGCUGCAUCCAACAAAUUUGAAUAAAAUACGUUAUUUUCAUUGAGUUCAAAAUACUCUUUUGAUCUCUUCUUUGACUCGUGGGUUAUUUAGAAGUGUGUUAUUUAGUUUCCACAUGUUUGGAAGAUUUUCUAGAUAUCUUUCUAUUAUUGAUUUUUAGUUUUAUCCCAUUGUGGUCAGAGAAUAUACUUUAUAUGACCUGAAUCCUUAUAAAUUUGUUGAGAUAUGUUUUAUGGGCUACACGAUGAUCUAUUUUGGUAUAUAUCCUCUGUGCACUUGAAAAGAAUGUAUACCCUGUUGUAGAUGAGUGUUCCAGUGAUGUCGAUUAGAAUAGCUGGUUGAUGAUGUUGUUCAAGUCCUCUACCUUCUUACUGGUUUUCUGUCUACAGGUUUUAUCAAUUAUUGAGAGAGAAGUGUUAAAAUCUUUGACAAAAUAACAAUUUUUAUGUUUCUCAUUGCAGUUCCAUCAGUUUUGGAUUUGCUUAUUUUGAAGCUUUGUGUUUAGGUGUGUAAAUAUUUAGAAUUGCUAUAUACUCUUGAUGAAUUGACCACUUUAUCAAUAUGGAAUGGCCAUCUUUAAUUUUGGCAAAGCUUUUUCUCUGAAAUCUAAUUUUGCCUGAUAUUAAUAUAGCCUCCUCAGCUUUACUUUGAUUAGUACUAGCAUAAUAAAUAUCUUUUCAUCCUUUUACCUUUAAUCUGUGUCUUUAUAUUUAAAAUGAAUUUCUUAUAGGCAGCAUGUAAUUGGGUAUUGCUUUUUUAAAUGUUUAUUUUAUUGAGGUCGUAAUAGUUUAUAACAUUGUGAAAUUUCAGUUGUACAUUAUUGUCAGUCACCAUGCGUGCGUGCCCUUUACCCCUUAUGCCCAUCCUCCAACCCCCUUCCCCUCUGGUAACCAUUAAUCUGUUCUCUUUGUCCAUGUGUUUGUUUAUCUUCCACAUAUGAGUGAAAUCAUAUGUUGUUUGUCUUUCUCUAUCUGGCUUAUUUCACUUGACAUAAUACCUUCAAGGUCCAUCCAUGUAGUUGCAAAUGGGACUAUUUUGUCUUUUUUUUAAUGGCUGAGUGUAUUCCAUUGUGUGGACAGACCUAAUUUACUUAUUCUU